rnacentral:rRNA from 1 species
UACGUAUGGAGCGAGGGUUGGCCGGCAUUAUUGGGCGUAAAGGGUACGGAGGCGGUUUAAUAAGUCGAAUGUUAAAGAUCGGGGCUCAACCCCGUAAAGCAUUGGAAACUGAUAAACUUGAGUAGUGGAGAGGAAAGUGGAAUUCCUAGGGUAGUGGUGAAAUACGUAGAUAUUAGGAGGAAUACCAGUAGCGAAGGCUGCUUUCUGGCUAUUAACUGACGCUGAGGCGCGAAAGCGUGGGGAGCAAACAGG